rnacentral:misc_RNA from 1 species
GUUGCAGUUACCUGGUGCCGAGUGCGUAAAGAACCGAUCUUCGACGAUAUGAGCAUGGCCAAGUGCUGGGAACUGCUGCUGUUUAUGGCGGCAGUGAGGUGCGGCCAUUCGUACGACGUGGAGAAAGUGACCCGGCUGGGUCGAGUUGGAGGAAGCCGUCUAAAUGUUCUGGGGCAGAAAGUGGAAGAGUACCACGGCAUCCCAUUUGCGCAGCCGCCAGUAGGAAGACGGCGAUUUCUUGCACCCCAGCCAGCCAAGCCUUGGGAUGGAAUCCUGGACGCAACGAGCAGGCGGACUGCGUGCCCGCAGGCGGUGUUCAGCAAUCUU